UUGGAUCCAGACUUGAUUAUGGCUCAGGAUGAACGCUAGCUACAGGCUUAACACAUGCAAGUCGAGGGGAAACGAUAGAGAAAGCUUGCUUUUUCUAGGCGUCGACCGGCGCACGGGUGAGUAACGCGUAUCCAACCUGCCCAUCACUUGGGGAUAACCUUGCGAAAGUAAGACUAAUAUCCAAUGAUAUCUCUAGAAGACAUCUGAAGGAGAUUAAAGAUUUAUCGGUGAUGGAUGGGGAUGCGUCUGAUUAGCUUGUUGGCGGGGUAACGGCCCACCAAGGCGACGAUCAGUAGGGGUUCUGAGAGGAAGGUCCCCCACAUUGGAACUGAGACACGGUCCAAACUCCUACGGGAGGCAGCAGUGAGGAAUAUUGGUCAAUGGACGAGAGUCUGAACCAGCCAAGUAGCGUGCAGGAUGACGGCCCUAUGGGUUGUAAACUGCUUUUAUAAGGGAAUAAAGUGAGUCUCGUGAGACUUUUUGCAUGUACCUUAUGAAUAA
rnacentral:rRNA from 1 species